rnacentral:rRNA from 1 species
GGCUCAGGACGAACGCUGGCGGCGUGCCUAACACAUGCAAGUCGAACGGAGUCAGAAAGCUUGCUUUUGACUAGUGGCGGACGGGUGAGUAACGCGUGAGUAACCUGCCUCUGAGAGGGGAAUAACGUUCUGAAAAGAACGCUAAUACCGCAUAACGUAUUGAAGCCGCAUGACUUUGAUACCAAAGAUUUUAUCGCUCGGAGAUGGACUCGCGUCCGAUUAGUUAGUUGGUGAGGUAACGGCUCACCAAGACCGCGAUCGGUAGCCGGACUGAGAGGCUGAUCGGCCACAUUGGGACUGAGACACGGCCCAGACUCCUACGGGAGGCAGCAGUGGGGGAUAUUGCGCAAUGGGGGCAACCCUGACGCCAGCAACGCCGCGUGAAGGAUGAAGGUUUUCGGAUUGUAAACUUCUUUUAUCAGGGACGAAAUCUGACGGUACCUGAUGAAUAAGCUCCGGCUAACUACGUGCCAGCAGCGGC